CCUACGGGAUGCACCAGUGGGGAAUAUUGCACAAUGGAGGAAACUCUGAUGCAGCGACGCCGCGCGAAUGACGAAGGCCUUCGGGUCGUAAAAUUCUGUCCUUGGGGACGAUAAUGACGGUACCCAAGGAGGAAGCCCCGGCUAACUACGUGCCAGCAGCCGUGGUAAUACGUAGGGGGCGAGCGUUGUCCGGAAUUAUUGGGCGUAAAGGGUUCGCAGGCGGUCUUUUAAGUCAGAUGUUAAAUGCAUAGGCUCAACCUAUGAGUGCAUUUGAAACUGGGAGACUUGAGUUAAGGAGAGGAAAGCGGAAUUCCUAGUGUAGCGGUGAAAUGCGUAGAUAUUAGGAGGAAUACCAGUGGCGAAGGCGACUUUCUGGACUUUUUCUGACGCUGAGGAACGAAAGCAUGGGGAGCAAACAGGAUUAGAUACCCGUGUAGUC
rnacentral:rRNA from 1 species